GGGGAAAGUGCAGAAUGAGUGGGGUGGUGUAUAGCGGUCCAUUGGAAAAAGGUAGUGCUCCUAAAGACCUUUUUUGUUUUUCUAAAGACUUUGUGAUAUAAUAAUCUGAGAAUUUUUCUGUAGAGCACACUUUAAAACUUUGUGGUUGUAACCCACAGUAAAAAAUGCAUUUAUAUCAAAACUCAGUUUAUUUAUAAUGGAGAAUACUAUUACGUAUAGUGUACUCCGAUAUUUUUUAUUUGUUUUUAAAAUAUUGCUGGUUGCAACCUACCAAAUUGAUUUCAUAAUCUACCAAUGGUUGUGACCCUUUGUUUGAAAAGAAGAAAACACCCCAUGGAGAAACUGAUAUUUAUUGAAUAUCUUCUGUUUUCCAGGCACUUCACUAGGCAUUUUACAGGUAAGGAAACAGAGUCUCAGAGAAGUUAAAUGACUUACAGAGGGUUAUUCAGCUGUGAAAUGUUGAAGCCAGGGGAUGUUAACUGGGUCUCUUGAACUACAAAAAUCUGUUAUUCCUCCACUAUGCUACUUCUGUACAUAAAAUCGAGGUGGGCCAUUCAUCCUGCUUCACCCGAACACCAGUAUAUUCUGUAAGGCAGGCUUGCUGUGAAAUUACAUGUGCAUUUGCAGUUUUUUGUUUUUAGUCUUUUCAGGAACUGUCCUGCAGCCUCUAAGUUUUUAAUAGUGGCUGAUGCAGAAGUACCUAGUGCUGAAUUUGGUCCUUAGACUGUAAAAUUAAAAAUGCUUCUAACCCACCUACAUGUCCUACAAAUUUCCUUGUAUACCAUGGGUUAUAGCCAUCUCUUCAGCGAUGCUUUUUGUAUUAAAAAUGAAAUGUUUUUUUCUUAAACCUAUCAUAACUCAUAGAAUCAAAUAAUUGCUAUCUUUUAAAAUGGUACUCUUGGGAAGUCACGUACUUACACUAGUGACACUAUUAUUAGAACAUUUUUGAAACUUUUCUUUUGGAAUUGCCUCCAAAGACAUUUUGCAAAGUAAAUAGAAGAGCCAUCUCCGUGUGUAUUAGUCAUGGAUUACACCCCGUUGUCCUUAUGACCUCUCCUCUCUUCCAUUCUUAGUUUUGUUUUUCUUCUGAUGGUUUUGCUCUCCUACUUCCCUGUGCUGGAGCCGAUAACCUGCAGGUGCCCAGACAGGGGGUAUGCUGGCCAGAGCUCCUAGAGCAAGAACUUUUGGUAUACUGAAGCUGAAUGCUAUAAAGAGAGACUCCUGCAAGUCUGAAAACCUAUCUCUGUGGACUACCUAUGCCAUAAGUAGUUUGCACAGGAGUAGGACUGAAUACUGGUCAUACCAAUCACAGGAAGGUGAGGAAACCUGAAAUGUAAGUAUGAAAUGUGCAGCAUUUCUCCGCACAGAACAGAAACCGCACCAAGCCAUGCUUUGUGUUAACUUAAAACUGAAAGGUGUUUCUCAGGGUUCCUUUGCCCUUCAUUGCUGCCACAUAAAAUCUGGGAGAAAGGAUGAUGAAAAGCCUGGGGGAAAGGUUCUCCUGUGAAAUGGACGUGUUCUCUUAAAGUACCAUGUGGCUUUAGCUCUCUGGUACUUAAUGAAUGUUAGAUAAUGUUUGUAAGGAAUCAUAGGACUAAUAAAAGGUAGGAAAGCUUCCCUGGGAGCCUAAAUUAAUGUAAGCAGUUUAGGUUCUGUUUGUGUUUUUAACAACAUUUUGUUUCUAACAGGUGGUUCUUGCUGUUUAUAUUCAAUAAUUUGACACCACUUUACAGAGGAACUUCUUCAGUAUUAUAAAUGAUCAAGGCAAAAGAUGAAUAUUAUUGUCCACAUUGCCACUCUCAAAUUAUUUUUGGAGAUAGAUAUAUCUGUGCAAAAUUAACAAAAGAAAUAAAUUGAAUAAAAAAUAAAUUGAAUAAAAAUGAUUUGCCCAAGAUCAAAGCUAGUUGGCACAACAGCUAGAAUUAUACCAAGGUCUAAGAAAAACAAAAACCCUCAAAGUAAUUCAACUGAAGUUUUGUUCUGCCAUAUCAAGUUGUAUGCUGAGGCUUAUGGUCUUUCAGACAAGCUAAAAUUCCAGAUCAGGCAGUAGCUAUAGUGAAAAGAAAAUUGGAUGGGGCAUUAGGAGAACACAGUGCUAAUUUGGGCUUUGUCUUUCCCCUGAUAAGCCUUUUUUCUCAGCGGUGGCUGCCUUCUCCUAUUCCAGUCUGGGAUUUGCCAACCAUAAACCUCAGUAGUUAGCAACUUGACACUCUCCAUUCUUCAUAUGUAGCUUCUUACUGGCUUCUGUCAGUUCUACUUUGAAUAUUAGUGGCAUCUAUUUCUAAAUGUGUUCAUAGUCAUCACUCUAGUAAAAGACUGUGUUACCUCUUACCCCCUAUCUCACUUCCCCCAACUUUAAGCCAUUCCUCACAUCAGUGCCACAAGAAUGAAAACCAGGUCCCUUGGCCAUUUUUCUGCUGAAAUAUUUCAGCAGUGGCUCCCCUGAAUACUCAAUAAAGUUCAAAACCCUUAGGUGAGCAUUCACAACUUUCCCUAUUCUGGCUCUAGCUUUAUCUCUUCAAACUCAACUACUCACCAACUGACAGUGCCACUGAGAAUCAGACAUUCCAUAAACAUGAUUUUAAGGGUUUUUUUCCCAUGGUGAAAUUAUGAACUGGUAAUAAACUGUUUACAUUUGUAAAAUUCUGUAGUACUGCAUUUUACACAACUGAUCAGCCUAAAAGUUGUUUCUUAAGGAAAAUCUUUUGUCCCUCCAGAAGAAAUUACAUUUAAUUAACCCCUAAAAUUGUCAGUUUUGUCACCUGUGCAUCUGAUAGCCAGAGCAUGGGGAUUUCUCUUCAGCAGCAUAGAUACUCCAGCCUUGAAUGGACCAUUGUCUAGCUCCUGUGAGAAACCUGACUAAUAAAUAUUUGAGAAAAACAACUCAAGAAUAUAUGUUAUUCAUACAUUUCUCAAGUACUUGAGAUUUUCUUGUAUUAUGGUCAAUCAUUAAAAAGAUGUUUACCUGGGUUUCAUUAAUUAAACCCUCUAAGAUAUUUUCCGUUUUAUUGUUAAACCCUUGAUGUUAGCAAGGGUCAGCACAAGAAAAGGCCCAAUGGUGAGAAUAUCUACAAAUUCUGUAAAGCUUACUGAAUUAAUUGUGUUGUUGAGUGGUGCUUGUAUAAGGAAACAUGCAAUAAAUUCAUUCAACAAAUACUGAAUUGAAUGCCUGUUGUGUGUUGCAUACCAGGGCCACCAUACAUAGAAAAAUCUUAGACCUAUGGAAUCUACCCUUGUUAAAUCAUUCAAGCUAAUGAAUUCAGGUACGUAAAGCAAGUAAAUCACAGUAACACGUGGUUAGUACCUUAAAAGAAGAAUAAACAAAGUAGGAUGAAGGCACAGAAGAUGGAGUGAUUUGCUGCCUGGAAGAGAAGGGGAAAGCUUGGUAAGAGGAAGGCGUUUGACAGGAUUUUGACCAAGGUCUCCUAUACCCAAGCUCAUGUACUUUUCUUGAUGCCUGGAAGAAGGUUAUGGCUGACUGGAGGAAGCUGUGGGCUUCGAGGUGGCAGAGGAGUUCCAUGUACAAAGGAUUGAAAACAUGAAAGAACGUAGUGUGCUCAGAGAAAACCAAGGAGCUAAACUUGAGAGUGAUGAAGAUGGAAGUGUAGACUGGGGUGGUUAUACAUGUUUUUAACUUAAUAAUUCUUUGUUUAAAGGAAUCGAUCUGUUGGUUUGUAUCAGAAAAGACUGGUAGAACCCUAGGAGUUCUUCCUUUUGCCUUCCUUGCCAAGGAAGUUAGUAAACCUCACCUUGCUGGAGUGUGUGGCAUAUUUGACAUAUUUGCUUUCCUUUCCCACAUGCAAGAAAUGAUUUGUGCUUGCGUGUCUCUCCGCUGUGAGAUCCCCUACUUCAUACUGAAUGCCUGUUUUCGUCCUGUCAUCCUAUUCAUUCCAUAAAUAUUGAAAACCCACUGAGAAAAUAAAUAGCCAUGAAACUUACCUGUUAGUGCCCAAGACUUUCAUGGUCCAGUUUCCCAUUUCUACACUACUUCUUAACCACUACAAUUCACUGGCUUCAUUCAGUUGUGGCAAAUUCUGCAAUGUUCUUCAUAGCUAUAAACUUCUUCCAUUUGUGGUGAUACGAUCUUACCAACUAGAUUUUAAGCUGCUUUCAGGACAGGGACUAGAUCAUCUGCUUGUUAGAAUAUUUUAUCACUUAAAAUAACAGUGAUGAGAAGAGGGAAAGAAAUGAUACGCCCCAAGAAACUUCAGGGUAAUGAAUUAUGAGGGCCUAGCACGUCUGUUGUGCCAUACGUAUCUCGGUGGAUAUGUAUGGAAAUGUGAAAAAGCCUUCUAAGAUCUAUCAGACCUUUGCUCAGUACUCACUUUUGUAUAUUAACUUAGGACGGAGUGAUGCAACAGAAGAAAUCUGGAAAACACCUCCAAGACUUGGGAGCCAUGAAUUGGACAUUUAAGCAUUUGGAGAGACACAGCGAGAGGGAACGCAAGCAGGGGGAGUGGGAGAGGGAGAAGCAGGCUUCCCACCGAGCAGGGAACCCGAAGUGGGGCUCGAUCCCACGAACUGAGCCAAAGUUAGCUGCUUAACUGAGCCACCCAGACGCCCCGGAGUAAAUCUUUUUCAUCUCUGAUUUGGUCCAUCAUCUGACCUGAAGACUACAACUCUGAUUUCAGAGUUAUUAAUUAGAAGCAAUGAAUUGAACAGAACUAAGACUCAACCUUGAGGAAGCUCUGUCCUGCUUUUCUAAUUAACAAUCUGGUAAGAUAUACUAAACAUGCUCCUUAUCACCUUAUUAACAACAUUUAUUAUUCUGAAUGAAAUGAUGGAUAAGUCAUGCAUAACUAAGAAUUUUAGGCUGAUUUUUUUAAAACAACAAUCAUUAAAUAUGCAUUAUAAAUAUUCAACUUUAUUUUAAAAGAAUUGGAAGAUGUUACAUAUAUUACACACUACAUAUAAUGGCACAUGUCAGCCUUUUAAGCUUAAAAAUAAUCUUUCCCCAAACUGGGAUUGACUUAGACUCCAAGUAUAAAAUGACUCUUGGCCUAUAGCACCAACCCAGGCCCAGAGGAAAGCCAAUUUUGAACCUGUCUUCCUUGGGCAUUGGGCCUCUGAUAUGACAGGGAGGGUCCUCUCCCUCUGGUUUUGUUCCCUGGCAGUACUGAGGCCUGGCACAGGAACCCAUUUGACUAUACAUUGCAGGCCUGAGAAAUCAGGGAAUCUAGUGGGGUAGGGUCCUCUAACAAUUUUACAAUGGGGAAAAAAAAAUUAUGUGCCUUAUUGUCUUCGAUUUUGAUCUAUACACCUACAACAAGACUCUACAAGAUAGAAGAUUAGAAUUACUGAAAUACAAUUUCUCUGCUGGUUUUCGUCUUUGGAAAUUAAUGUGUCAUGAUAGGAGGAGCCUUAAAAAUAAUCUGGUUCAACACUGGUAACCUGCUCUACCAGUAUCUCAGAUUUAGGUAUAAUUCAAAGAUUUAAAUGCCAUCCAUAUGCCAUUUUGUUAGAUAAACACAAAGAAAUUUAAUAACACUUUUCAUUUUCUUUUUCUUAAUUCAUAAGGACAAUUCCGCCAAAUGUUCUGGCUUAUGGCUCUCCUCCUCUUCAUAGUAUGUUUAAGUUACAUAUUAAGAAUCCAAAAAAUACCACUGUGGAAUUUUCAUAAGCAAUAUCCAGCCAAUCAGUAAAACACAGUACACAGUGUGAAAAUUUUAAUUUAUUCCCCUCCCAAGUAUCCAGAAUAUAUACCCUCUUAGCUUUGAGAAAUGUGACAAUGAAAAUACCAACAGGAUUGAUUGUAUAUAAAGAAAAGCACAUACUACACAGGAGACAUCCCUAAGUCCUCCCUUACCUAGCAGUGCAAGUUAAUGGUAUGUUUCUGGCAAUGUCACCUUUCACUUGAUUUAUAAAAAUUUUAAAGGACAUAUUUAAAGCAAAGAUAGGCCUCUGAUUUUUAUUUUUAUUUUUUUAUCCCUAACAGAUUUUUUAAAAAGAGGCUAUAUUAAAUGACAAUGCAUUUUGAGUCAGGGGGAGAAAAAAAAAAUUAAAAACCCAAAACUUCUCUCAGUUUAUUCAAAAUAAAAAUACACAUAGAAUUAUGAAAAUAUAGGUUUACUAUUUCCAC